rnacentral:rRNA from 1 species
UAGUGAACCAGUACCGUGAGGGAAAGGUGAAAAGAACCCCGGAAGGGGAGUGAAAAAGAACCUGAAACCGUGUGUCUACAAAUAGUCAAAGCACAUUAAAGUGCGAUGGCGUGCCUUUUGUAGAAUGAACCGGCGAGUUACGUUAAUUAGCGAGGUUAAAUCAGAAAAGAUGGAGCCGGAGCGAAAGCGAGUCUGAAGAGGGCGAGAUAGUUAGUUGAUGUAGACCCGAAACCAAGUGACCUAUCCAUGAUCAGGUUGAAGGUGUGGUAAAACGCACUGGAGGACCGAACCCGUGUAAGUUAAAAAUUGCUGGGAUGAAUUGUGGAUAGCGGUGAAAUUCCAAACGAACUUGGAGAUAGCUGGUUCUCUCCGAAAUAGCUUUAGGGCUAGCCUCGAAGAAAGGAUAAUGGAGGUAGAGCUCUGUUUGGACGAAGGGCCCGUCAGGGGUUACUGAAUCCAGAUAAACUGCGAAUACCAUGUAUCUAUCUUCGGGAGUCAGACUGCGAGUGAUAAGAUCCGUAGUCGAAAGGGAAACAGCCCAGAUCACCAGUUAAGGUCCCAAAAUCUAUGCUAAGUGGAAAAGGAUGUGGAGUUGCGUAGACAACUAGGAUGUUGGCUCAGAAGCAGCCAUCAUUGAAAGAGUGCGUAAUAGCUCACUAGUCGAGUGACGCUGCGCCGAAAAUUUACCGGGGCUAAGCAUAGUACCGAAACUGUGGAUGUAGUGGAAGACACUACGUGAUAGGAGAGCGUUCUAAAGGCGGUGAAGUUUGACCGUGAGGACAAAUGGAGCUUUUAGAAGUGAGAAUGCCGGUAUGAGUAACGAAAGAUAGGUGAGAAUCCUAUCCACCGAAUGACUAAGGUUUCCUGGGGCAGGUUCGUCCGCCCAGGGUAAGUCGGGACCUAAGACAAGGCCGAGAGGCGUAGCCGAUGGGGAACAGGUAGAGAUUCCUGUACUGCAUUUAAUCGUUACGAGCAAAGGAGCGACGCAGGAGAUAAAGAACGCAUGGUGCUGGAAAUCCAUGUUUAAGCGUUAAGUAUGAGAAUGAGUGAAAUGCUUAUUUUCGUGAAGUACGAGGCGUGAUAAGGAGCGAAAUUAAAGUAGCGAAGGUUCUAUAGUCACACUGCCAAGAAAAACUUCUAGCCAGAGAGAAUGUACCCGUACCGUAAACCGACACAGGUAGUCGAGUAGAAAAUACUAAGGUGAGCGAGAGAACUCUCGUUAAGGAACUCGGCAAAAAGACCCCGUAACUUCGGAAGAAGGGGUGCUGACUAGAGAUAGUCAGCCGCAGUGAAUAGGCCCAAACAACUGUUUAUCAAAAACACAGGUCUUUGCAAAAUCGUAAGACGACGUAUAAGGGCUGACACCUGCCCGGUGCUGGAAGGUUAAGAAGAGAGCUUAGUGCUUAAAGCACGAAGGUUUGAAUUGAAGCCCCAGUAAACGGCGGCCGUAACUAUAACGGUCCUAAGGUAGCGAAAUUCCUUGUCGGGUAAGUUCCGACCUGCACGAAAGG